rnacentral:rRNA from 1 species
GAUGAACGCUGGCGGCGUGCCUAAUACAUGCAAGUCGAGCGAACGGACGAGAAGCUUGCUUCUCUGAUGUUAGCGGCGGACGGGUGAGUAACACGUGGAUAACCUACCUAUAAGACUGGGAUAACUUCGGGAAACCGGAGCUAAUACCGGAUAAUAUUUUGAACCGCAUGGUUCAAAAGUGAAAGACGGUCUUGCUGUCACUUAUAGAUGGAUCCGCGCUGCAUUAGCUAGUUGGUAAGGUAACGGCUUACCAAGGCAACGAUGCAUAGCCGACCUGAGAGGGUGAUCGGACACACUGGAACUGAGACACGGUCCAGACUCCUACGGGAGGCAGCAGUAGGGAAUCUUCCGCAAUGGGCGAAAGCCUGACGGAGCAACGCCGCGUGAGUGAUGAAGGUCUUCGGAUCGUAAAACUCUGUUAUUAGGGAAGAACAUAUGUGUAAGUAACUGUGCACAUCCUGACGGUACCUAAUCAGAAAGCCACGGCUAACUACGUG